rnacentral:rRNA from 1 species
CAGUAGCCGCGGUAAUACGUAGGGUGCGAGCGUUAAUCGGAAUUACUGGGCGUAAAGCGUGCGCAGGCGGUUGUGUAAGACAGGUGUGAAAUCCCCGGGCUUAACCUGGGAACUGCGCUUGUGACUGCACAGCUAGAGUAUGGCAGAGGGGGGUGGAAUUCCACGUGUAGCAGUGAAAUGCGUAGAGAUGUGGAGGAACACCGAUGGCGAAGGCAGCCCCCUGGGCCAAUACUGACGCUCAUGCACGAAAGCGUGGGGAGCAAACAGGAUUAGAUAUCCCGGUAGUCCCUGUCUCUUAUAU